AUUGAACGCUGGCGGCAGGCCUAACACAUGCAAGUCGAACGAGUGGCGGACGGGUGAGUAAUGUCUGGGAAACUGCCCGAUGGCGGGGGAUAACUACUGGAAACGGUAGCUAAUACCGCAUACCAUCGGAUGUGCCCAGAUGGGAUUAGCUAGUAGGUGGGGUAACGGCUCACCUAGGCGACGAGCCCUAGCUGGUCUGAGAGGAUGACCAGCCACACUGGGACUGAGACACGGUCCAGACUCCUACGGGAGGCAGCAGUGGGGAAUUUUGGACAAUGGGUGAAACCCUGAUGCAGCCAUCCCGCGUGUAUGAUGAAGGCCUUCGGGUUGUAAAGUACUUUCGGCAGAGAGGCGUUACUUGCAGAAUAAGCACCGGCUAACUACGUGCCAGCAGCCGCGGUAAUUC
rnacentral:rRNA from 1 species